AUUGAACGCUGGCGGAAUGCUUUACACAUGCAAGUCGAACGGCAGCACGGACUUCGGUCUGGUGGCGAGUGGCGAACGGGUGAGUAAUGUAUCGGAACGUGCCCAGUCGUGGGGGAUAACGUAGUGAAAAUUACGCUAAUACCGCAUACGAUCUAUGGAUGAAAGCGGGGGAUCGCAAGACCUCGCGCGAUUGGAGCGGCCGAUAUCAGAUUAGGUAGUUGGUGGGGUAAAGGCCCACCAAGCCGACGAUCUGUAGCUGGUCUGAGAGGACGACCAGCCACACUGGAACUGAGACACGGUCCAGACUCCUACGGGAGGCAGCAGUGUGGAAUUUUGGACAAUGGGCGAAAGCCUGAUCCAGCCAUUCCGCGUGCAGGAUGAAGGCCCUCGGGUUGUAAACUGCUUUUGUACAGAACGAAAAGGUUUCUACUAAUACUAGGAGCUCAUGACGGUACUGUAAGAAUAAGCACCGGCUAACUACGUGCCAGCAGCCGCGGUAA
rnacentral:rRNA from 1 species